UACGGGGGGGGCAAGCGUUGUUCGGAAUUACUGGGCGUAAAGGGCUUGUAGGUGGCCAACUAAGUCAGACGUGAAAUCCCUCGGCUUAACCGGGGAACUGCGUCUGAUACUGGAUGGCUUGAGUGUGGGAGAGGGAUGCGGAAUUCCAGGUGUAGCGGUGAAAUGCGUAGAUAUCUGGAGGAAUACCGGUGGCGAAGGCGGCAUCCUGGACCGGCAUUGACGCUGAGUGAGCGAAAGCCAGGGGAGCAAACGGG
rnacentral:rRNA from 1 species